UCCAAACUUUAAUGCUCAAUCAAAUUAAGCUAAUUAGUAAUCUAAUCAUUAAUUAAUCCUCCAUUAAUGAUAGAGUCCAAGUCCAGUGGACUCUUCUCUAGAGUCUCCAUCCAGUGGGACUCUUCAGCAGAGUCUCCAUGCACUGAAACUCUUCAGAUUAGCCAUAUGAUCAGAGAAAAACUUCUAAUAUAUAUAACCUUAUAGGUUCGAACCU
rnacentral:lncRNA from 1 species